rnacentral:rRNA from 1 species
CAAAAACAUAGCUUGGUGUAAUUAUAUUAAGUAUUUUCUGCUCAAUGAUACAUUAAAUAGCCGCAGUACCCUGACUGUGCAAAGGUAGCAUAAUCAAUUGACUUCUAAUUAAAGUCUGGAAUGAAAGAAUAAAUGAAGGGUUAACUGUAUGGUCAAUUAAUUAUUAAGUUACUUAAGAGGUGAAAAUUCCUCUUUUUAAUUAUUAGACGAGAAGACCCUAGAAAUUUCGAUAUAUUUUGUUGGGGCAACAGUGUAGCAAUAUUAACCUACAUUAUUUACGAGAAGUGUGACGGUUUGAUAAAAUUACUCUAGGGAUAACAGCAUAAUACGGAAGUGUUUGUGACCUCGAUGUUGGAUUAGGAAUGUGCAGUUUAGAAAAUAAUCGCAGUGCUCUGUUCGAGCA